ACGCUAGCUGCAGGCUUAACACAUGCAAGUCGAGGGGCAGCAUGGUCUUAGCUUGCUAAGGCCGAUGGCGACCGGCGCACGGGUGAGUAACACGUAUCCAACCUGCCGUCUACUCUUGGACAGCCUUCUGAAAGGAAGAUUAAUACAAGAUGGCAUCAUGAGUCCACAUGUUCACAUGAUUAAAGGUAUUCCGGUAGACGAUGGGGAUGCGUUCCAUUAGAUAGUAGGCGGGGUAACGGCCCACCUAGUCUUCGAUGGAUAGGGGUUCUGAGAGGAAGGUCCCCCACAUUGGAACUGAGACACGGUCCAAACUCCUACGGGAGGCAGCAGUGAGGAAUAUUGGUCAAUGGGCGAGAGCCUGAACCAGCCAAGUAGCGUGAAGGAUGACUGCCCUAUGGGUUGUAAACUUCUUUUAUAAAGGAAUAAAGUCGGGUAUGGAUACCCGUUUGCAUGUACUUUAUGAAUAAGGAUCGGUUAACUCCGUGCCAGCAGCCGCGGUAAUACGGAGGAUCCGAGCGUUAUCCGGAUUUAUUGGGUUUAAAGGGAGCGUAGAUGGAUGUUUAAGUCAGUUGUGAAAGUUUGCGGCUCAACCGUAAAAUUGCAGUUGAUACUGGAUAUCUUGAGUGCAGUUGAGGCAGGCGGAAUUCGUGGUGUAGCGGUGAAAUGCUUAGAUAUCACGAAGAACUCCGAUUGCGAAGGCAGCCUGCUAAGCUGCAACUGACAUUGAGGCUCGAAAGUGUGGGUAUCAAACAGGAUUAGAUACCCUGGUAGUCCACACGGUAAACGAUGAAUACUCGCUGUUUGCGAUAUACAGCAAGCGGCCAAGCGAAAGCGUUAAGUAUUCCACCUGGGGAGUACGCCGGCAACGGUGAAACUCAAAGGAAUUGACGGGGGCCCGCACAAGCGGAGGAACAUGUGGUUUAAUUCGAUGAUACGCGAGGAACCUUACCCGGGCUUAAAUUGCAGAUGAAUUACGGUGAAAGCCGUAAGCCGCAAGGCAUCUGUGAAGGUGCUGCAUGGUUGUCGUCAGCUCGUGCCGUGAGGUGUCGGCUUAAGUGCCAUAACGAGCGCAACCCUUGUUGUCAGUUACUAACAGGUUCCGCUGAGGACUCUGACAAGACUGCCAUCGUAAGAUGUGAGGAAGGUGGGGAUGACGUCAAAUCAGCACGGCCCUUACGUCCGGGGCUACACACGUGUUACAAUGGGGGGUACAGAGGGCCGCUACCACGCGAGUGGAUGCCAAUCCCAAAAACCUCUCUCAGUUCGGACUGGAGUCUGCAACCCGACUCCACGAAGCUGGAUUCGCUAGUAAUCGCGCAUCAGCCACGGCGCGGUGAAUACGUUCCCGGGCCUUGUACACACCGCCCGUCAAGCCAUGGGAGCCGGGGGUACCUGAAGUGCGUAACCGCGAGGAGCGCCCUAGGGUAAAACUGGUGACUGGGGCU
rnacentral:rRNA from 1 species